rnacentral:rRNA from 1 species
UACAGAGGGGGCAAGCGUUAUUCGGAAUUAUUGGGCGUAAAGGGCGCGUAGGCGGCUUGGCAAGUGGAUGGUGAAAUCCCUCGGCUUAACCGAGGAACUGCCAUCCAGACUGCUUUGCUUGAGGCCGGGAGAGGUAAGUGGAAUUCCCAGUGUAGCGGUGAAAUGCGUAGAUAUCGGGAGGAACACCAGUGGCGAAGGCGACUACCUGGCCUGUUCUUGACGCUGAGGCGCGAAAGCUAGGGGAGCAAACGGG